CAUUUUGAAAAAACAAUCAAAUCCGGAUUUGAAAAAGUCAUUCCGGUUUGGGUUUUCAUUUAGCAACGGAAUUCUAUAUCCUGUUUGAGAGAAAAACAUGCUCAAAGACAGCAUUGAGGUAUUCAGUUUUCACAAUACGAAGCAAAUGAGAGUCUACGCCACUAUCAAAGUAAAAGAAAAAAACACAAUAAUGGAUCGGACAAACACAUGAUCGAAGUUGGCAGUAAAAAUCUUAUUUCGAGAUUGUUUAAUGUUGGUUGUCAAGUCACAGAGCCUGAACCAUGCUGAACCAACUUCCGCCCAAAAAGGCAAAAACGGGUAAGAAACUAACAGGUGGCCCAGCUAAAGUGGAAGAAUGGAAAGAAGUGGAAUACACUUGUAGGGUGGCAGUUAUUUCAAGAACCCUGUCUUGAGUUCUUAGAAAUAAUCUGUGAAUCACUUGUGUUGCACAACAUUUUCCCUGAAAAGAAAAAGUUUUCCCUCCAUUGCUAUGUGUGUAUUGAUGUAAAUCCAUUGGAUGUACCACUUGAUGUGCUUGCAAGUCAUUCCACUUCUUGACCAGUAUACAUGAUGUACCCACAGAGAGAAUAUAAAAAUAAAUUACACAAAAGUAUUUGCUUGGAAAAUGCAAAAAUUAACAUAGGCUGAAUUCUACUAUAUGUAAUAUAUGACAGUGUUGAUGUAUUGAUAACUGAAUGUAAAUACACACGUUUAAAAUUUUUGUUUAUUUUUUUCCUCCCUCCCUCUUAGGUUUUAAAUUUUCAUGUGACAUUAAACGUAGAAUUAAUUUUAAACAGCCUAAUGUUCCUCUAAUCCUAUAGAUGUUUUAAACCAACAAAAGGCCCAUGGGCCAUAUCACUCACCUGAGCAACAAUAGGCAUGAUAAAAUCAGCCUAAUGGAGUCAUAAUAAAAAAUAUGUGGACAAU